CACUACGGAAAGUUCAAAGGGAAACUCACUUAUCCAGAUGCAAUCAGUCUUUGCUUGUUGAUCACAUACUUGUCCGUAAAGUUUUAUAAAGAAUAAUUAUUCCCCGUUCAUGUGGGAGAUUGUUGUGUUCAAUAGGAUGUGUGAAUGAAAAAUGGAAGGAAUUCUUGGAGGAAAAGCGAGCACACUUAAAAAGAAAGUAUACUUCUCCCACAUUGAUAGGAGAAAACAACUUUAUUGUGUAUUUAUUAAGAAACACUCCUUCAA
rnacentral:lncRNA from 1 species